AGAGUUGAUCCUGGCUCAGAACGACGCUGGCGGCGCGUUUAAGCAUGCAAGUCGAGCGGCAAGGGCCUUCGGGCCCCUAGAGCGGCGGACGGGUGAGUAACACGUGGACAAUCUGCCCCCCGGCCCGGGAUAGCCCAGGGAAACCUGGAUUAAUACCGGAUGAGACGGGACCCGCGAUGGCGGGAUCCGGGAAAGGCGCUGCGGCGCCGCCGGGGGAUGAGUCUGCGUCCCAUUAGCUAGACGGCGGGGUAACGGCCCACCGUGGCGACGAUGGGUAGCCGGCCUGAGAGGGUGGACGGCCACAUUGGAACUGAGACACGGUCCAGACUCCUACGGGAGGCAGCAGCUAAGAAUCUUCCGCAAUGGGCGAAAGCCUGACGGAGCCGACGCCGCGUGAACGAAGAAGGCCGUGAGGUUGUAAAGUUCUUUUCGGGAGGGGGAACAACCGUGGCAGGGAAUGGCCGCGGGAUGACGUGAAUCCCGGAAUAAGCCCCGGCUAACUACGUGCCAGCCGCGGC
rnacentral:rRNA from 1 species